AAAAAGUGUAUCUUUACAUAUACAACGUCCAUAUUUUCAUGAACAAUUUGCUAAUAAAACCAAAAGUGCAAGAGCAUCCAGAUUUUUGUAAGGGUGCAUCAGCCAGUGUACUCUCACAUCAUGACCUAAAUUAAGGUACUCGAUGUUAAACGCACCUUUGCCGGUCUUCGUUGGAGAGAGCAAUAUCGUCCAUGGGGCUGCGGACACGGGUCCAUCUAUUGCUGUGCCGAUUACUUGUCAACAUAGGCUGCUUCAGUCCAGAGUUCAGACACAUAUAUAAAAGAACAGGGCAAUGGCUGCUUCAGUCCAGAGUUUCCUUUGCACUACACAUAGCCUCUAAAUUAGACUGAUGUUCUAUAAAUCCGUGUAAAUCAUAUGGGAUAACCUCUACAGUGUAUAUAAUCUAUAAAAGCUGAAACACAAUAAUCCUUGUUAAGCCUAUAGAACCUGCCAAGUGACAAAUUGGAAUGAGAAAAUAGAGGUACUUUGAUAACCCAAUCAACAUGAAAAAUAUGAUGAUAAAUCAAUGGUAUAUAAGAAGUUCAGGAAAAACUCAUCCUUUUGUUCAUGCCGUUGUUGGGCUUGAUUACGUCGGAGAAAUUGUGCUAUCUAUCUUGUCAGCUUGUCAAGGAGGAACUUCAAUUGCAGCGUUAUCAUUAACAACAUUCGGACUGUCAACAGAGGGAGUAUCUUGAGACAGUAGUUUGGUAUCAGCUUCAUGCUCAUCUUGAACCGGCAGUGUCCCUGGGUGAAGUUUUCUAUUUCUUAUUCUUCUGCACAAGCUGCUCACUGGCAGUUGGAAUGUCUUCUGCAUCAAUCCAUUCAGCUCGAAGUUCCUUAGGCGUAUCCUGAACAAUGAAAUUGUUUGGAUCCAACAUGGUUCGCUUAUGAUCAACCUUUUGUUCAAAAGGGACUUCAGACUUUCAUAUACUUGAUAAAUAGACUAUUCUGUCACUUUCUUGCAGAUUACACCAACCAGCAAUAGACAAAAAACUGCAAGAAUAUUCCAAAUUAUUAUGCAAAAUUCCAUAGCUAAGGAACAAAGCUCAAUGAGAAAAACUGUUGCAAAAACAUUACGAACCUAAUAAACAAAAGUUGUGGGCAUUCAUUGGGUAGCUGAUGCCGCUGCACUGGGUAGCUGCUCCCUUGGGCGCGCACACAGCCGUCAGCUCGAACGCGAGCUGCUCGGGCGCUCCCCCGGACGCGCGCAGCCGGCUGCUCCCUCGGGUCCAGCAGCGGUCGCGACGCGAUGCGAGCAGCAGCUCGGACGCACGCUGCGCGUCCCCGUCAGCCCGGGACGCCGCCCGAGCGGGAGGCACCGGCGGACCGGAGAGGCGAGCAGCAGCACGACCCAGCGGCAGCACCGAGCGGCAGCAGCAUCAUGCCCAGGACAGGGGCGCACGACAGGUGCGGCGCGUCGCGGCUGCAGUUCAGGGGCGGCAGCAGUUCUCGGCCGCAUUCAUGCGCGGCCGCCGUGGCGUGCUCCUCCUCGCGCAACUGGUCCAUGGCCGUCGGCGCACGGCAGGGCAGGGGCGGUAGUAGUUCUAGGCCGCAUCCAUGGCCGACGGCACGCGGCAGGCGGCGUGCUCCUACUCGCGCGGCCGAUGCGGGAGAGGGAAGAGAGGAAUCAGGAGAGGUGCUCACGGGCGGCGCAACUCGUCUCCUCGGUGGCCAAGCGGCUCGCCGGGGUGGCGAGGAAGGCCGGCUACAGGGAGAAUCAGUAGGGGGCGCGAAGUGAUCCGUUCCCAUGAGCGGCAGACCGGGGAAGGCGUCGGAGUUGGCCGGAAUCGGGCUGUCAAUAUUAAGGACGGGUGCCACCGCCGUUGAAGCGAGGGGAUCAAAGGUCGGGGAGGCUCGCCGUCUAGGAUCCAGGACCAGCGCGGACGCAGCAGCGGCGCUCCCAAGCUCGGGCGCACCACUGCGUGGCGGAGGGCCGGCGAAGGCCAUGCGGCGGGAGGAACGGCGGGAAGGGCAUUCCAGACGGAGCGUCUGGAUAAGAUAGAGGAUAGGAGCUAGGGUCGAAUUCUAAUAAAUUCAGGGGUCAAUUUGUAAAAUCGAAGCGAUUUCCCAGAUAUCACUUGAAGAGGGACCGCGGGUGCAAUUGCUGAAAAAUAGGAGGGCCUAUUUGCAAAACGACUGCGACGAGUGAACGGGCAGAAGCCAUAGACGCUUUAUUAUUAUAGGUAAAGAUAAAGAUUAUUAUUAUAAUUAUAAUAUUAACCAAUUAAUUAAUUAAUUAGGUAAAGUUAAAGAUAAAAAUAAAGAUAGAUAUAAAUAAAAUAAACGCGGGCCUGGCCCAGGCGUGCGUUUAGCCACGUGCCGUGCCGGGUAUGCGUCACGCCAGGCACGGCCCUAGCCACAAAUCGAACCCUAACUACCGAAAUCUCAUCCCCCCAUCCCAGCCGCCACACCGCCCACAGCGCAGGCACAGGCGAGCAAGAGAAGGCAACGGCGCGACGGCGCGACAACGGGGCGGCCGCAAGAGCAGCGGAUCAGCGCGCGGGGUGCGGCGGCGACUCUGCGCGUGGGCGGUGGCUCGCGAAGAGCAUCAAGGCACAGAUCUCGGUGAACGACGAGCAUUCUGUCGUCGAAGAUGGUGCACGUCGAGCUCGACCUUGCGGACGAGUGGUCCGAGUCCGACGUCUCGGAAGAUGUCUCCGACUCCGAAGUGGGCGACGGCCUGGACUGGCUCGACACCGUCGAGAGCCAUGAUGGUUCAGCCCGGCUAUCCGCCGCCUUCUCGACCGUCGGAGGCGCGGCAGCGGCGCGGAGGCCGAAUGCGCACGGCGGCGUGCUCUCCCGCCCCUUUCAGCCGCUCUCCAAUCGCACGCAGAAGCUCGCCUCCCACAUCCGGGCCACGCCCUUGGAGGAGUGGGAAGGUAGAAUGAACGUGGGGAUGUCAAAUUCGGUAACGACUGCAAUCAGGGACAGCAUAAGGGAUACAUCAAUUGGCAAAAUAGGAACCAUGAGAAGGCCGAUCGUGCUACGGUGGAACAGGCCAUUGACCCAAGAACACGCAUGGUUUUGUUCAAGAUGUUGAAUAGUGGUGUUUUUAAUAAUAUAAAUGGCUGCAUUUCUACAGGAAAAGAGGCAAAUGUCUAUCAUGCAACAAAGAUAGAUGGCCAGGAGCUAGCAAUCAAAAUCUAUAAAACCUCUGUCCUUGUCUUUAAGGAUAGAGACAGAUAUGUUCAAGGAGAUUAUCGUUUUAGAUAUGGUUACUGCAAGCAUAAUCCCCGGAAAAUGGUUAAGACCUGGGCUGAAAAGGAAAUGAGAAAUCUUAAACGAGUGGCAGCAGCUAAAAUUCGAUGCCCAGCACCAUUGCUCCUGAAGCUUCAUGUAUUGGUGAUGGAAUUCAUAGGGAAAGGAGGUUGGGCUGCUCCUCGUCUUAAGGAUGCUGCUUUGUCGGUUGACAAGCUGCAUGAAGCUUACUUUGAGAUUGUUACGAUAAUGAGGACACUUUAUCAAAAGUGCAAGCUGGUCCAUGGCGAUUUGAGUGAAUAUAACAUUCUUUAUUUUAAGGGCCACUUAUAUAUCAUUGAUGUUUCGCAAUCUGUUGACGUUGAUCACCCUUUGGCGUUGGACUUAUUAAAGGAAGAUUGUUUGCAUGUUUCUGACUUCUUUAUGAAACGAGGUGUCGCUGUCAUGACAGUAAUGGAUCUAUUUAAUUUUGUGAUUGAUCAAAACAUUGCGGAUGACGAUGUUGAAUGGAGAUAAAUUGGUGAUCGUGCAUGCUGCAUCAUGGAUAAAGAAUCUAAUGGAUUAGCUGUAUUCUGUUAAUCACAGGUUCAGCAACAGAUGUUGGAGAAUGGAGAUACACUCGCAAAUGAUGAUGACAUAUCUCCAACAGUCAUGGUGCAGACGUUGGAUUAUGUGAAGCAGUGUGAGGCUGAUAUAGUCAACAUGUCAAUGUUGCAACGACCAUCCUUGUGUUACGAGCCACCAGCGGACAAGCUUUAUAACCAGCCAUUGCUAGGAUUUGUGCGGGCUGAAAAAAACAAGCGUACUGCUGAAAAGCAGAAAAAACAGUUGCCACAUAAUAAGUGCUCAUUGCUAAGUAGUGGAUCUUGCUCUAGUUCUGGUGAAGAUUCGAGGUAUGAGGCUGAUCCCAAGAUGGGACCUGAGGAGAGGAAGGCUGCUUGGAAGGAGGAGAAGAAGAAAGUGAAAGAAGAGAAGAGAGAAACUCGGAAGACAAAGGAGCCGAAGGCCGAUAAGAAGAGGAGGAAGAAAAUGGCAAAAGCGAAGUGCAAGAGGUAGCAAUCUCUGGUUGAUCAGUGGCUAAGCACAAAUCAGCAUUCGGCCAAGUUAUUCUAAAUUAAUUCUGUGAGAGCCUGUAUGAUUGAGUGUUUAUAACGAGAAAGGACGAUGCUUCCCCAGUGAUGAUGCAAACAAAUGUCAUUGGAUUCUCAGUUGUGUUUUUUUUGUUCAUUCUGAUUUUUAAAUUGCGCAGCCCUGAAGCGCAGUAGUGUCUAGCAACCUUGUAAAUGGUGCCUUGUCAUCAGAUUUAAAAUUUCCAUGUAGUUUUGUUUUGUGACUUGCCAGCUAAGAAAAGUUUCUCAAUACCGC
rnacentral:rRNA from 1 species